rnacentral:tRNA from 1 species
GGAGAGAUGCCUGAGAGGCCGAAAGGAGCAGUUUGCUAAACUGUCGUACGGGUUAAACUGUACCGAGGGUUCGAAUCCCUCUCUCUCCGCGA